rnacentral:tRNA from 1 species
GGACUCUUAGCUCAGCUGGAUAGAGCGUCGGCCUCCGGAGCCGAAGGUCACAGGUUCGAAUCCUGUAGAGUCCG